AGAGUUUGAUCCUGGCUCAGGAUGAACGCUGGCGGCGUGCGUAACACAUGCAAGUUGUACGACGGUGCCAUGAAGUGGAGACACGGAGUGGUAUACGGAGUAGCGGACGGGUGAGUAAAGCAUGAGGAGCUGUCCUGUCGAGGGGGAUAACGUUCGGAAACGGACCCUAAUACCCCAUAGUCCGAGAGGUUAAAGGCAGAGAUGCGCGACGGGAGGUACUCGUGUCCUAUCAGCUAGUUGGUGAGGUAACGGCUCACCAAGGCGACGACGGGUAGCCGGCCUGAGAGGGUGACCGGCCACACUGGAACUGAGAUACGGUCCAGACUCCUACGGGAGGCAGCAGUGGGGAAUAUUGGGCAAUGGGAGGAAUCCUGACCCAGCGACGCCGCGUGAACGAAGACGGCCUUCGGGUUGUAAAGUUCUUUUAUGUGGGAAGAAGGAAGUGACGGUACCACAUGAAUAAGCCCCGGCUAACUACGUGCCAGCAGCCGCGGUAAUACGUAGGGGGCGAGCGUUGUCCGGAAUUACUGGGCGUAAAGGGCACGCAGGCUGUGCUUCAAGUCAGCUGUAAAAGGAUGCGGCUUAACCGUGUUAUGCAGUUGAGACUGAGGUGCUGGAGUACCGGAGAGGCAAGUGGAAUUCCCAGUGUAGCGGUGAAAUGCGUAGAUAUUGGGAAGAACAUCGGUGGCGAAGGCGACUUGCUGGACGGUAACUGACGCUGAGGUGCGAAAGCCAGGGUAGCGAACGGGAUUAGAUACCCCGGUAGUCCUGGCUGUAAACGAUGAAUGCUAGGUGUGCGAGCAGAGAUGUUGGUGUGCCGCAGUUAACGCGAUAAGCAUUCCGCCUGGGGAGUACGGUCGCAAGAUUGAAACUCAAAGGAAUUGACGGGGGCCCGCACAA
rnacentral:rRNA from 1 species